rnacentral:tRNA from 1 species
GGGGCCAUAGCUCAGCCGGGAGAGCGCCUGCUUUGCAAGCAGGAGGUCGGCGGUUCGAUCCCGCCUGGCUCCA